rnacentral:snoRNA from 1 species
UGCAGUCGAGUCAAAUUCAGCUUCCAUCCUUUUAUGGGCCCUCUGUCCCCUGCACUGGGACCUAGGGAUAACUUUGGCUGGAGACAAAA